AUUGAACGAUGGCGGCAGGCCUAACACAUGCAAGUCGAGCGAGCGGCGGACGGGUGAGUAAUGUAUGGGGACUGCCCGAUAGAGGGGGAUAACUACUGGAAACGGUGGCUAAUACCGCAUACUAUCGGAUAACCCAUAUGGGAUUAGCUAGUAGGUGGGGUAAAGGCUAACCUAGGCGACGAUGCCUAGCUGGUCUGAGAGGCUGAUCGGCCACACUGGGACUGGGACACGGCCCAGACUCCUACGGAGGCAGCAGUGGGGAAUAUUGCACAAUGGACGCAAGCCUGAUGCAGCCAUGCCGCGUGUAUGAAGAAGGCCUUAGGUUUGUAAAGUACUUUCAGCAGGGAGGCGUUACCCACAGAGGAAGCACCGGCUAACUCCGUGCCAGCAGCCGCGGUAAUAC
rnacentral:rRNA from 1 species